rnacentral:rRNA from 1 species
AGAUCAUAGUGCCUGGAAUGGCUUAUGGUCCAAACAGCUUACUGCCAUGGGAUGGGACUGCGGCCUAUCAGCUUGUUGGUGAGGUAAUGGCCCACCAAGGCGAUUACAGGUACGGGCUCUGAGAGGAGAAGCCCGGAGAUGGGUACUGAGACACGGACCCAGGCCCUAUGGGGCGCAGCAGGCGAGAAACCUUAGCAAUGUGCGAAAGCACGACUGGGUCAGUCCGAGUGAUUCCUGAUAAAGGAGUCUUUUGCCUGUCCUAAAAACACUUGUGAAUAAGGGGUGGGCAAGUCUGGUGUCAGCCGCCGCGGUAAUACCAGCACCUCGAGUGGUCAGGACGUUUAUUGGGCCUAAAGCAUCCGUAGCCGGCGCUGCAAGUCUUCGGUUAAAUCCACCUGCUCAACAGAUGGGCUGCUGGAGAUACUACAGCGCUAGGGAGUGGGAGAGGCAGACGGUAUUCAGUGGGUAGGGGUAAAAUCCUCUGAUCCAUUGAGGACCACCAGUGGCGAAGGCGGUCUGCCAGAACACGUUCGACGGUGAGGGAUGAAAGCUGGGGGGAGCAAACGAUUAGAAUACCCGGGUAGUCCCAGCUGUAACGAU